rnacentral:lncRNA from 1 species
AAAGAAGAAAAAAACUACACUUGCUUUGAUUCUGAAGUAAACAUAGUACAAAUCAUAAGUUUCUGUUGCAAACGAAAAUUAAAAUUCACAAUAAUUCUUAUGCUCGGUAGAUGUUGCUGCUUUGUUUAUGCCAUUACAAAACUUCAUGUAAUAAUUUCUGAUAAAUAUGGAUUUUUUGGGGUUAUUUUACUGAAUGCUUAUACAGAGGUAUCAAA